CCUUCUGCCCAGCCAUUCACGCCUCUCACUGUUUCUCUUUCUCCCUCCCGCCGUGUUUAUAAAGCACGCAUCGCUUCGGUUCCUGAGUGACUCAACCCCGACACCGGUUUUUUAAAACUUGAGGCUUGGAAGGGAGGCCACCCGCUCGCCGCCUCAGCUGCCGGCUGUUUUCAGGGAUCGAGCAGGUGGGGUGGCAGCGCCAGGCAGAAGAGGAGUUCAUCUUCCCCCGCUCGCCCUCACCAGGCGGCUCUGGCACCAGGAGCUGAUGCCUGCUGACUCCCCGUGGCUGCGUUGGUCCCCGAAGCUGGUGUAACUGAAGAGGGAAAAAAUGGACAACUAUCAUCUGAUUUAUACCGACAUAAGGCAAGAGUAGCUUCGGCAAAGUCUGUGCCUGUUUGAACUUUUAAAUCCCAA
rnacentral:lncRNA from 1 species